CACGUAGGGCGCAAGCGUUGUCCGGAAUUAUUGGGCGUAAAGAGCUCGUAGGCGGUUUGUCGCGUCUGCUGUGAAAACUCGAGGCUCAACCUCGGGCUUGCAGUGGGUACGGGCAGACUAGAGUGCGGUAGGGGAGACUGGAAUUCCUGGUGUAGCGGUGAAAUGCGCAGAUAUCAGGAGGAACACCGGUGGCGAAGGCGGGUCUCUGGGCCGUAACUGACGCUGAGGAGCGAAAGCGUGGGGAGCGAACAGG
rnacentral:rRNA from 1 species